GACGAACGCUGGCGGCGUGCUUAACACAUGCAAGUCGAACGGUGAAGGGACCAGCUUGCUGGUUCUGGAUGAGUGGCGAACGGGUGAGUAACACGUGAGUAACCUGCCCCCUUCUUCUGGAUAACCGCAUGAAAGUGUGGCUAAUACGGGAUAUUCUGGGUCUGUCGCAUGGCGGGCCCGGGAAAGAUAUUGCUUCGGUGGGGGAUGGGCUCGCGGCCUAUCAGCUUGUUGGUGGGGUGAUGGCCUACCAAGGCGGUGACGGGUAGCCGGCCUGGGAGGGUGGACGGUCACACUGGGACUGAGACACGGCCCAGACUCCUACGGGAGGCAGCAGUGGGGAAUAUUGCACAAUGGGCGCAAGCCUGAUGCAGCGACGCCGCGUGAGGGAUGGAGGCCUUCGGGUUGUAAACCUCUUUCGCCAGUGAAGCAGGCCUGCUCCUUGUGGGUGGGUUGACGGUAGCUGGAUAAGAAGCGCCGGCUAACUACGUG
rnacentral:rRNA from 1 species